rnacentral:rRNA from 1 species
CGCAUGGCAGCAUUUGUUUCCAAACGAUCUGAAACCGUCCGAUCAGGCUAAUCCGGCGGCUCCCGUGAAACGUGCGUCGUCACUCCGGCCCCGCCGUGCCAUGCCAAGUGCCACCCUCCAUCCAUCCAUCCAUCGUCCAAUGGGCAGUCGCCAAGCCGGGGGACCGAGAGCUGGACGCGUCGGUUACCAAACAAAAUCCGGCACGCCCCCGCAGUUUUACUAGUCUUUGAGAUGAGAUGAGAAAAUGGCAUGUUCCAGCCACCUUCGAUCGGCUUCCAUAACUCCCAUCCCAUGUUCCAUGUUUCAGGAACAAACAAACAAACGGAAACCCCCCGACACGCCCCCAACAGACCGGACGCGGACGCGGACGCCGAUCCUCUCAAACUUCCGCCUUUUUUUCUUUCCAAUCUGUACUAGCCUGUGAUUCUUCCACCCCUCCCCGCGCCGCCUCCCCUGAUUUCUUUUCUCCCCACCCGCCGGAUUCGGCCCCCUCCUUGCGCCCCUCAGCUGUCAUCCUCCCCCAACCGAAAUCCGCUGCUGCGGCGGCGGCGAGCCAGGCCGGCUGCUGCUCUGCUGCCCGCGGGCCGGCGGCGGCCGAUUCGUCUGGCGCGGGUUCGGCCGGGCGGCGCCGCCUUCUCCGCCAAUCAAGAUCGAUCUGGGCUCUGACGGCAGCCCCUCGCGAGCUGCUGCCCGGCCGCGGGCGUCGUCGGGGACAUGAAGGCCGCGCCGCUGCCCCGCACGAGAGCGGCAGCUUCUCCGAGGCGGCGCGCGUGGAUACUCGCCGUCGCGGCCCUCGUCUCCGUCGUGGUGGUCUGGGCCUACCACUACCCGCCCCAGCAUUACGCCUCCCCCGUCAGCAAUUGGCUCCCGGUGGAGCCCGACAGGGAGCUGACCGACGACGAGAGGGCCUCCCGCGUUGUCUUCGGCCACAUACUCUCCACGCCGCCUGUUCGGUCCAGGGGGUCCAAGAUCGCCUUCAUGUUCCUCACCCCGGGCAACUUGCCGUUUGAAAAACUAUGGGAGAAAUUCUUCGAGGGUCAUGAGGGAAGAUAUACCAUAUAUGUUCACGCCUCGAGGGAGAAGCCAGAACAUGUCAGUCGCUUAUUUAUUGGUCGAGAUAUACACAGUGACAAGGUACAGUGGGGUCAGAUUUCUAUGGUUGAUGCUGAGAGAAGGUUGUUGGCGAAUGCUCUACAAGACAUUGACAACCAGCAUUUUGUGUUGCUUUCUGACAGCUGCGUACCUUUGCACAAAUUUGACUAUGUGUAUGACUACCUGAUGGGAACAAAUCUCAGUUUUAUUGACUCCUUCUAUGAUCCUGGACCACACGGAAAUUUUAGAUAUUCGCAAAAUAUGUUACCUGAGGUUAGAGAGUCUGACUUCAGGAAGGGUUCACAGUGGUUCUCAGUCAAGCGGCAACAUGCAUUGAUGACAAUCGCGGACAGUCUUUACUAUACAAAGUUCAAGCUUUAUUGUAAGCCAGGAAUGGAAGGUGGAUGCAAUUGCUAUGCCGAUGAGCAUUAUAUGCCAACACUAUUCAAUAUGAUGGAUCCAAAUGGAAUAGCGAAUUGGUCCGUAACUCAUGUUGACUGGUCGGAAGGAAAGUGGCAUCCAAAAGCUUAUCGGGCGCAAGAUGUCACUUAUGGGCUCCUGAAGAAUAUAACUUCAAUUGACAUGAGUCACCAUGUUACAAGCGAUAGCAAGAAAGUGGUUACACAGAACCCUUGCUUAUGGAAUGGAGUGAAGAAACCAUGCUACCUGUUCGCCAGGAAGUUCUACCCUGAGUCCAUGAACAAUCUCAUGUACUUAUUCUCGAAUUACACCCUCUUUUGAGUGUGCUGUGCUCAUCCCAUAUACUACAGGAAUUUACAGGAGAUAUUUUUGCUAUAGAAACAUCUGUACAUUUGGAAGGACAUUAGAUCUUUUGACAAGUUGGUGGAUAUAGAAGAUAUACGGAGGAGAAGGCAUUCGCUGCAGUAAUUGAGUGGUUCCCAAUCCCAUCUCCAUCUCAGUCCAUUUUAACUCGCUCCAGGACAUCACAUAUUUAGGACGACCAUGUCUUUUUACUAGUUUCUUUACAGAUUUUUAGUCACAGAUUCUGUGAUGUAUAGUAAGAUUACUGUAACUCGGAAAAGCCAUUAGAUGAUGCCCAUUAUUGGUUACACUAAUACCACUGAGUCUGCUCAAAGCUCCGUCGUAUCAUUUCGCUUGUUCAAGUGGCUGUCAUGUUCUGCAUUUCAUAUUUCCACAGUACUUGCUUGAUUUUGAAAUAUAAGGUGUAUUUUUUUGGGAAAGUAAUUUUUUUUCUUUUUUUCUGACCA